rnacentral:rRNA from 1 species
GCGCGAAAACUUUACAAUGCGGGACACCGCGAUAAGGGGACCUCGAGUGCUGGCAUACAAUGCUGGCUGUCCAGCUGCCUAAAUAGCAGUUGAUAGCAAGGGCCGGGCAAGACCGGUGCCAGCCGCCGCGGUAACACCGGCGGCUCGAGUGGUAACCGCUAUUAUUGGGUCUAAAGGGUCUGUAGCCUGCAGGUUAAGUCUCUUGGUAAAUCCGGCAGCUCAACUGUCGGGGUUCAGGGGAUACUGGUCUGCUCGGGACCGGGAGAGGUGAGAGGUACCUCAGGGGUAGGGGUGAAAUCUUGUAAUCCUUGAGGGACCACCAGUGGCGAAGGCGUCUCACCAGAACGGGUCCGACGGCAAGGGACGAAAGCUAGGGGCACGAACCG